ACAGUAAUCAGCACCUGCUUGUCCUCCAGCCUCCCAAGUGACUGAUGGGCAUUUAAAGAAGCAACACUGAAAGCUGUUAGUUGCUUUCAGUACUACAUGCUAACAUUAUGCUGGCAGAUAGCAUUGGACAAGCCCACAAAUGCAGAGUGAUGCUGAGAUCAAUACCAACCAAGUAACUGCCUGGAGGCAGUCAAAUGACCUUCCAGCAUAAGAAGCACUCUGUAUGAUGAAGUCAGCCAGAAAGGAGAAUUGAUAUGAACUGUUUAGUAUGCUUAAUUUUGUCUUAAUUGUGCUAGGAGUUAUUAUUGUGAGAAUAAAAAAAAAAAAAAGGAAAAA